rnacentral:rRNA from 1 species
GAUUCUGGCUCAGGAUGAACGCUAGCUACAGGCUUAACACAUGCAAGUCGAGGGGCAGCAUGGUCUUAGCUUGCUAAGGCCGAUGGCGACCGGCGCACGGGUGAGUAACGCGUAUCCAACCUGCCUUACACUCUUGGACAGCCUUCUGAAAGGGAGAUUAAUACAAGAUGUUAUCACGAGUAAGCAUUUUCGCAUGAUUAAAGGUUUACCGGUGUAAGAUGGGGAUGCGUUCCAUUAG